CAUGUCUCUCUCUUCUAAAACCAUUUCAUGAGAUCAAACAAGAUGUCAAAGGUCAGCACAUUUUGCAUAUUAGCCCUCCUCCUCUUCUUCACGCUAACAUGCACCGCUCGGCCAGAGCCUGCAUUUCACCACAUUACUCCGAUGAAAACACAACAUAGGGAUGCUAGAGUUGAUCAGAUGGAAGAGAGUUGUGAAGGAGUUGGAGAAGAAGAGUGCUUGAUGAGAAGAACACUAGCAGCCCAUGUUGAUUAUAUAUACACCCA